UUCAAGUUUCUGCCCACAUCUACGUCGAUGAUGAACAAGUGCUCGAGCAAUGCUGCGCACGACACUUACGCGCGUCCGUUCAAUGAAUCUUUCCAUACGCUCGGUCAGCUGGCGCGGCGUGUGAAAUACAGAUUGCGGAGCACUGGGUAUAAAAAAUUCGCAUGUAAGUAAGAGUAGCAUCAAUCUGAACGAUUCAGUCAGCAAGAAAGUUUCGAACUCAUCACGAAUUCGUCUUUGUUAAGUACAGACAUCAUCGAACGUCAUCAUGCCGUGUAAAUGCUGUAAUAGUGAUUGCAGAUGUACCGCUGAAUGCGGCCAGAGCAAGCCGUGCACUGCAGAAUGCAACUGCAACUGCGACUGCAAGAAUGAAACCGGAAAGGAUUGUUGCGAAUCUGGAUGCUGCAGGAAGUGAAGCCCUACAGUAGGCAGGAUUGCGGAACUUUGUUUAAAACACGUGUUUAGAUACUUCAAACUGUGGUUAUGAGUGAUAAAAAACUUGUGAUUUAAUUUGUAAUCAAAAUUAUUUAAUUUUUAAAUAAACAAGGUCAUAAACAUGUAAAGAA